AAUAAUAAAAUAUUAAAAUGAUAUGGAUGCAAACAAACCACUGGAGCAUGAGAUGAUUUUGUAAUUUCUCUGUAUAAUCAGAAUACAUGCCUCUAUUCUCAACCUAAGCUGUACAGUUUGUUUUUCAGUCACUGAGAUGAUCCAGCUUGACUGGCAGAUCAUAAGGAGCCUCUGAGAUCUGGACAAUUUAAUUUUACAUUUGAUUUACUACCACAGGUGGGGAGCAGGAUUCCUCAAAGGCAGUAGCUGGACACACAGUGCCAAAAAAACCCAUCUUGGCUGCUAAUGGUAUGUCAUGGACUGUGGGGUUCUGGACACUUUACAGACAUCUCACAAAACUCCAGUCCACUGAGAGCUAACAUAAAAGCUGAACUUGUGAACAUUGUGUUCUCGAUACUCGCAUGAAGUUUAUGCAGCCACUAGAUCAGUCACUCAAUCCUGGUCCUGGAGGUUCAACAACAAAAA